GUUGGCAUUAGAGAGACAGAAAUCUAUCAAUUCAUUGUAAUUCUAACAAUGUCCUUAAAUGAAAGAUUUAAAAUAAUAAAAUCUCACUUCCAGACACUUGAAAAAUAAUUAAUAAAAUAAUCUAACAAUAAGGAUAUUAAAGUACUCUUCCUAUGGUACGACUAAAUUCCCUUUCACUGUGAUCAAUACACUCUUCCUAGAUCAAGUGUUGUGUAACUUUACUAGCAAGACCUUCACUACGUACUGAAUUGCUCUGUGAUGUAAAAGAACCAAGCAGCACUCAAGACCAUGCUUCAACAUGGUAUCUCCCAUCCCUUUCUAACCUCCUAAGUAGCAGCCCAGCAGCUUCCUUCGAAACCCCAGCCUCUUGGGAUAUUAUAUCCUCAAAUGCUGCCAUUACAUCUGAGGGCAUUUUGGUUGAAGAUCCUGCAACGUAAAUAGAAGCCCCCUCUAACACCAAAUCCCAUAUCCUCUCACUGUGUUCUCGCAUUUUAUGCUGCACAUAAACCUUUUGCGGUUGGUCUCUUGAAAAGGCAACAUAAAAACCCCCACCCCUUUGUUCUGAAAGCACCCCAUUUUCUGGUGCAUGAGACAACCAAAAAUCUUUAUAUAAGAAGUCAUUCUCCUCAUUUCGGCAACCAAAGAAGAGCAAAAUGGGAGCAGCUCUACCAGACACAUCUUGUAUGGUUCUUUCCUCCACAAAUCCACGGAAAGGUGCACAUCCUGUCCCAGGCCCAACAAGAAUAAGGGGAAGUGAUGGUGGUGGAGGAGGAAGUAAACCUUUGUGAAACCAUGCUGGAAUAUAUAACCCUGUACUUUGUUGAGGAUCAAGUUUGGCGAGCCACAUGGAGCAGAGACCAGUCCGCUUCCUCUUAAAAGGUGUUGUCCACGACACUACGUUCACUGUCAAGUGCACUUCAUUAGGAUGAGCUGAAAGGGAGGAAGAAAUGGAGAAAGCCCUUGUUUUCAAUUGAGGAACCAACUGCACCAACCACUCAAAAGGCAUUUGCACAGAAGGGAAAUCCUCUAGAACCUGUAUCCCAAAGAAUUAAAGACAAAUCAUUCUCAGGAGAAGUAAGUACAUUCAAAUGUGUAAGAUGCAAUAGACUAACAUUUAUAGGAUGGCUCAAAUCAGGCAGCUGCACUCUAAUAAACAUAGUUAGAAUGACAGUUACCUCUACAUUCUCUCGAGAGGAAAAAUAGUUCCAGGACAAAAUAUAACAAUGCAGGAGGCCAAGUUCCCUACCAGUGCAAGAAACCACUGAAUUCUAAAAUUAAACACACAAGAAAACUGGCUAGUACUCCCAAUCAUUUAAUAUGCUAAGUUGUUUACCCUGCACAAAAGACCUCAAUGCAUAUUGCAUCCAUAAAUAAUCUAUAUGAACAUAUUGUAGCAAAGGACAAUCAUAUUUCACUUGUCCAAUUUGAGCCACAGAUGCCUAGGAUAACUCAUCUUCCAGAAGCAAUUAAGUUAAAAUUAAAUGAUUACAGAAACCAAAAAAAAAAGAACCUCAUUCUUUUCACCAAUUACACAUUCUUAUUCUCCAUGUAUCCUAAAAUAAUUUUGUCUGCAGCACAUGCUUCACCUCAGCAAAUAACACAGAAAACAUGUGCUGUUUUAGUUAGGUGACUUGAAGUACAGUUGCCUUGUAUAAAUAAUACACUUCGGCUUGGAAUUAUGCUAAACAAAGAUAAAAUAGACCAGAAUCUAAUCUUUUCACCCAAUUCACUUUCCCUUCUUCAUCAAACCAUCCUAUCUCUGCAUUAAUGGCUUUAUUUAAGCAAAUUAAAAAGAACAUAUAUUAACAUGCCUGAGGAAUUAAACCUCAAAGAAUUAAACAGAAUAUAUAUUAACAUGUGAAGAAAUGAACCUUGAAGAAAGAUGCUUAUCAAUUGAUGUACAAUGCACAAAAUGACAAAAUGCAUUAUGUUUCUUAAAUUCACCUCCAAAACAGUUCUUCGUUCCUUCUGGUUGUAUUGGUAUAGAUCAUCUCUUCCUUCAGGUGAUGCAAAAUGUUGAAGUCUCUCCUUUUCAUGCUGAGCUGUCGCAAAAAAGCUCAUAACCUGAACAAGAAAUAUUAUCAGUACAGAAGAUGAGAAGCACACAGGCAUACAAAAAGGUACAACCAUCAAAAUUCAGCACAAAACAUGAUUUUAUUAUGAAAUAAAAGGCCUCCUUAAUGAAUU
rnacentral:misc_RNA from 1 species